UCCCAGCCUCUGAGAUCCAGGGACCCAGGGCGGGAUCCUGUAUAAAGGUGGUCAUGGCUGUCUGUAUGGUAUGUGAAGACUGAGGUAGGCUUUGCAAUGUUGCCUCCUUCACCAGCAUCAUGUCUGUGUGCUUUCAUAUGCUGAUGACGCUUCACAGCUUCCCGUAGGAUUCUGAAUGGCUGCCACUCAGGGCAGUUCCCCCUACAGGCUGAGGGGUGUGGACUGGGGGACUUCUCAGCCAUUUGUCACCACACAACAUCCAGAAGCAUCUGCAUUUCCAUAGUUAUUUCCGGAACAAAACUGAUUAAAACCAUUUCCUAGGUAGGUCAGCAUCUUCCCUUGAACAGUUUUCACAAGAAAAGGCAGAGAGAAAGUCGUUGGGGCGAUGGCAUUAAAUCUGCUUGGGUGACUCAGAAUGUAUGUUGGCACGGCAACGCGCCAUGUGGCGGGCAGCAGACGUGUCUUGUUGGUGGCGGUGGCGUGUCUGAAGAGGCCUGGCUUCAGCAAGCCGUGCACAAUUUGCUUCCUUUUUGCCUUUCAUACGCAAGUGUUUGAAGCUAUCUUUUCAUUCCUUUCCACCGGGCCGUAAUCAAUAGGAAGAAAGCAUUGAAGUUUCCCCCCACCGUCGCAUUUCUCAGGGUCCUUGUUGAAAGUGUGGGCUGCGGUUCUGCACCGUGCAGUAAUGAGAAUUUGAAUUUCGUGGGGCGCGUGAAGUGUAAAUGAGAAACUGCCGGUCGCCCAGCUGUGCAGCCCGCCUGAGAAAUGUCUUUGCCGAGAAUUUACUCUGCACUCGUUCCUCUUAAUUCAUCCAUCCAUCCAUACAUUCACUAUGGAGCGCGCACUGUUGGCUGCACAAAGAGCUCGUCUUUUAAAGUGCAGCCACGGCCUGGCCGCUGUGUCUCCUUUAGAGAUGCUCCCAGCCUGCAGUGGUGACAAGCAAUGAGAUUUGGUGAGCGCAUCAAGGCAGGGGCAUCCUGGAGUCUUAGCUGAGAGGAAGGCGUGGCCCUUUAGAUCAGAGAAGCAGGCUUACAGAGAAGGGAUCCUGCUGAUGGCUAGAACUGCGGGGCAGGCCCAGGGACAAAGCCUGGACCUUAAGCCUCAGCUCCCGGGAUGCCGUCACUUUUAACUGUUCUUUUGGGGGAAAGUGAGGGGGUCUGUCUGAGCAGAGCUAAUGAAUACUAAGACUGUCAGUCCAUGUGUGGUGUCUUAUCCUUACACAGAAUUCAAAGGUCACAGUGUUCCCUCUCUCUGGACAGAAAAAAAAAAAAACGAAGCCCAGGAUGAGAAAUCGAAAGAGAACAUAGAGAAGACUGGGGCUUCCCCGGUGGGUGAUUUCAGCUUCCCCAUGGUUUCCCUGCACAUACUGGGACUUUGUCCUCCUGGCUCCUUAGGGACGUGUCCAAAGUUUAUGAUUCCAUGGGAACCUAAACUUAGUUUGCUAAACUAGUUUGCCAAGUCCUCCCCUCCUGCUAGAGUUUGAAGACAGCUAUGGUUUCUCAUUCAGCAAAGCCCUUCUGCUCAGCAUCUCGGGGAGGACUUUCAUCGCUCGCCUGACACAGCGUGGAAGGAUGCCUGCCGAAACCAUUAUGCCUGCUUUUCUUGCUGGCACCGUUAUUGAUCCUUGUCAGCAGGAGCUACAGCAGGCUCGGGAUGUUGCCUUAGGAGGUGAAACCUCAUGCCUUGUUCGGUUAUUAAGAACGACUGCUGUGUGGGUCACCUGUGCUGGCUACUUCUUCCUUCUGAAGACCUCACGGUGGAAGACAGAUUCUGUUUUGUUAACCCUUGGAGAUUCUGUGAGGUGGCCAAGUUCACUGAUACCUUUUCAAACAAAAAAAGUGA